rnacentral:rRNA from 1 species
AUGCAGAAUUCAGUGAAUCAUCGAAUCUUUGAACGCACCUUGGCGCCCCUUGGCAUUCCGAGGGGCACRCCCGUUUGAGUGUCGUGA